CAUUUUUUUGACAGGGCGUCCUCUACAUUGGCAGAACUCCGGCAGAAAGGCUGGAGGAAGUCAGGUGACGAAGAACACAGAGCGACAAAGCAAAUAGGGAUUCAUCGUUGUCGAUGAAUGGAUCAAAGACGACGAGCACCCAGGUGACCGGGGUGACUUGUUCUUUUCUGUUGGGGGGGGGGGAUUAAGAUGCUUCGAGUGUGUCUCUGGAGACUACCUCUCCUGCUUUAAACCCGUUGAAUGUCCCUCAUCCAUGGAUCGCUGUUUCACCACUGGCCUUGGUAACUUUUCUUUUUUCUUCAAACAUUUUUUUCUGAGGCGACCCUAGAAGUAUUUAUAAUACACCUGAUUUAUGUUCUUAAGAUCAUAAGUUGUAACAUUACUGUAUUACCAUAUGGAUACUGAAAUGGCCAGUAUAAAAAAUAUGAAUAAUUCUAUCUUGUUUUGCAGGGGAUACCUUGAUCAAGGGAUGUCAAUUCAGUCCUCUGUGUCUCCUGCCAGGGAGCGGUUGCUGCAAAGGCGAUUUGUGGAAUACCAGCAAUAGCAUCGGAUCAAGCUUCAUUCUCCUGCUGUUGUCUACUGCUGCACUGUAUUUCCUCUGAUCUCCUGAAAUCCUGUUCAUGGAGACUAUAUCCUGUUUGCGUUUAGAUUACAUUUAGGGCAUUUAGCAGACGCUUUAUCCAAAGCGACGUACAAUAAUUACAUUUGUCAUAAGAAAGAGGAACAUAACACUGUCGGUAUAGUAAGGAUGUUUCUACAUUUCCGAAGAAGAAUUUCUACGAAGUUCCUAAGAAUAUUCUUUACUGCAAUUCCUCAACAACUUCCUAAUAACGUGUUAAUUGUUCCAAUUUAGUUGUUUUUUUAAAGGGACACUGUCUAAAAAUUACUCCCAUCUAGUGGUACAAUUGUAUAUUGCAUUCAAACUAAUAGUGCUCGCUUGUUCAAAAACUACGGUGGGCAGUAUGUGCCAAGAAGCUGUGUCAUGACAUCCAGUACUACCUCAUCGAGUCAUUGGAGUGAUGAUGAGGUUCGUUAUUUCAAACAAAUAUCAAACUGCAUUGAAUCAUUAGUGUAAGCCAGUGAUUUUCAACCUUUUUUGAGCCGCGGCACACUUUUUACAUUUACAAAAUCCUUGGGCACACCAAAAUGACACAAAAUGACACUCUAACACAGUUCAUAUAAUACAUAUUGUAGUGGCGAUUUGUCCUCAAUAAAACAAUAACUUGAAAAUUAAGAAAUCAAACAAAGCAACGUAAUCAAAAUAGCCACUGUGGCACCAGGGGGGACGAAUCUUACGCAGUGCAGGGGAAAGAGUCAACUGUCCAGUCGUGAAUUUAGAUUUCUGCAGGUUUAUUUUCCGAUCUUCCAAGCAAACAAAACAAAUGUGCAACAGUGUGAACCAGCAGCCUCACUCCUUUGUCUCUCUCGUACAGCUGGUAAAAAACCAUGACCUUCUCAGUGCCUGUCUUACCUAUGUCCGCCACCUCUAUAAAUAGGCUAUAGUAAUAACUUCAAAACAAAAGCAUAAACAAACUCAAAUUAACUAAUUUAUAAUACAAACGAGAAAAUAAACAAAAGUCAUCUUAUUUUAUAUUAAGCAAACAAACUAAAUACAUGUUUUACAAUUAAAUCUAAGAACUUCAUAGCUCCAACACAUAUAGUUAAUAAUAUAGUUUCUAAAUUUAUUUAUACUCACUUAGUGUGAAACCCAGAGGCGUCGUCAGCCCCUUUUUACUGGGGCACGUGCCCCAGUAAAAGUCUCCAGUGCCCCAGUAAAAUUCCAUUGAUCAUUAUUAAAUUAAUCUGCAGAAGCGCCGCUCUCGCUAUGGAAUCGGCAGGAUUCAUCAAGUGAAUCUCCUGCUGCCUCUGGAGUCUUCAGUCGAGCCUGCCUCUUACCAGCCAAUCAAAAAACGAAAGGGGCUACAUAAAAGCCAAUCAGAAAAUACCCCUACUGUAUCUGGGUAAGAUUUAACGCAACAACCAAUGAAAAAAAUCAGUUAUUUACGGAUUCGUCC
ensembl:lncRNA